rfam:Schistosoma rodhaini strain Burundi genome assembly, scaffold: SROB_scaffold0004715
GCCGGCGACCAUACCACGUUGAAAGCACCGGUUCUCGUCCGAUUACCGCAGUUAAGCAACGUCGGGCCCGGUCAGUACUUGCCCCCAAAUGCCCUGGUACGGCCGAGA